CUAAUGCUAUGAUGAAUUAUGAAUACAAUCUUCGCAUGUCAGACUUCAGAGAUGCUUAUGCAUCUAUGAGAAGAUAUUUCAUUUUUCUGAGCAAAAU